rnacentral:rRNA from 1 species
AUAUCAAUAAGCGGAGGAAAAGAAACUAACAAGGAUUCCCCUAGUAACUGCGAGUGAAGAGGGAAAAGCUCAAAUUUAAAAUCUGGCAGUCUUUGAUUGUCCGAGUUGUAAUUUAGAGAAGUGUUACCCGUGUUGGCCCGUGUACAAGUUUCCUGGAAUGGAACGUCAUAGAGGGUGAGAAUCCCGUCUUUGACACGGACUACCAAUGCAUUGUGGUAUGCUCUCGAAGAGUCGAGUUGUUUGGGAAUGCAGCUCUAAAUGGGUGGUAAAUUCCAUCUAAAGCUAAAUAUUGGGGAGAGACCGAUAGCGAACAAGUACCGUGAGGGAAAGAUGAAAAGAACUUUGGAAAGAGAGUUAAACAGUAC